rnacentral:rRNA from 1 species
UACGAAGGGGGCUAGCGUUGCUCGGAAUCACUGGGCGUAAAGCGCACGUAGGCGGAUUGUUAAGUCAGGGGUGAAAUCCUGGAGCUCAACUCCAGAACUGCCUUUGAUACUGGCGAUCUCGAGUCCGGGAGAGGUGAGUGGAACUGCGAGUUGAGAGGUGAAAUUCGUAGAUAUUCGCAAGAACACCAGUGGCGAAGGCGGCUCACUGGCCCGGUACUGACGC